GACAUACUCCCUCCGUUCGGAAUUACUUGUCAUAAAAAUGGAUGUAUGUACAACUAAAAUACAUCUAGAUACAUUCAUUUCUUGGACGAGUAAUUCCGAACGGAGGGAGUAUAUU
rnacentral:pre_miRNA from 1 species